CAGUGCGCGAGUCCUACUUGCAUUUAUCCAGAUUUCUGAAAAUAUUUUCUCCAUACCUGCUGCUCUGUUCACGUCCAGGGUGUAUCUAAACUGUAUGAAAAGUUGCUUCAUAUCGAUAUUUUUAUUUUGAUUGCAGUUAGUUUUGCCUUUGUGCAGGAAGAAUGCAGUUAGUUUUGCCGUUGUGCAGGAAGAGCUUUGGGAAUAAGAAGUAAACAAAGUGACGAAGUGUUUGUGUUUAUAUUAUGUGGCUGUGUACCAGGUAGUAUGAACAUUGGAUUUAGGGCUCCUGUAAGAUGUCACAGUCAACUAGCUUUCAGAAAAAAGGGAAGCCGAAGGUGCCCCCAAUUCAGGGAACUAAACCAUCUAUACACAAUGCACAGUUGCUAAUAUCCUCUGGUGUUCCCUCUUUGGACUAUGUGUUAGGUGGAGGUAUACCUGUUGGCACAGUGAUGUUGGUGGAAGAGGACAAAUAUGGAACAUUUUCAAAAUUCAUUAUGAAGUACUUCUUAGCUGAAGGAGUUGUGUGUGGCCACUCUGUUGUUGCAGCCUCACAAGACGAUCCGGAAGCAGUGGUAGCCGAAUUACCAGCAAUAGUACAGGAAGAUGACAGCGAACCUCCAAAUUGUGCCACUGCAGAUGAGAAAAUGAAAAUUGCAUGGCGUUAUCAGAACAUAAAACCGGAUGUACCAUCACAGUCAAGAACAAGUUUUGGUCACUAUUACGACUUGACCCGAACAAUGGAUUUGGAAACAAUUAAAACGGCAAAUAUUUUUUAUUGGCAUGGGAGUCAAAGUCAGCCUACAGAAUCCAGUGGUCACUUUGCUGAAGCUGGCUAUGGGCAACUGCUUCAAUUUAUCCGUGACCAUGUUGAAGGAGGAGGGUUCUCUGUACAUGUAAAUCCUGAACAUCGAAAUAUUUUAAGGGUGGGUGUGACUAGCAUGGGUUCUCCGCUGUGGGGGCCUGUGGAAGAUAUCAAAGACUUAUGCCACUUUCUGUAUUGCCUUCGUUCACUUAUCCGUUCUGCAUUUGGUGUCUGCUUAUUGACACUGCCGUGGCAUCUGUUUGAGCCAGUGCCUGGUGCAGUGGAGAGAUUUGAACAUUUGGUGGACUAUGUAGUUAGACUGGAGGCUUGGGAAGGUGAUGUUCUACCUGCUCUCCGUGAUUACAAUGGCUUACUUCACCUUCGUAAGCUUCCAGCCAUCAAUACACUUGCUCCGCAUAUACCUGAAAGCUUGGACCUUGCCUUCCGUUUACGGCGUAAGAAGUUUGUGAUACAGAAACUACACCUUCCACCAGAACUUCAAGAGUCAACUGAGAGAGAGCAAGAUGAACUAAUAGGUCCUUCAGGGAGCAGGUUGCCAUGUGGAAAAGCCUUAGACUUCUGAUGUGUGUAAGAUACCAUGGUGGGAUUCACUGAAAGAGCAUUAAAUGCAGGUGGUCCAUGAUUAUUUUGCCCUGAAUUUCUCCAGAAAUUAUGAAACUCACUGCUUGCCUCAUGGAAGAAACAUGUUGUGAAUGUGUACGUUGAAGGCAAACAGAGAAGACAUCAGAUUGAAGAAAUUGCAUUUGAUUCACUGUCACUUGUAAGAAAGGAAAUGGCUGUUGAAAUGGUUUCCUUGUUGUAAAAUUUAAGGAUAUUGAAAACUACAAUUCCUGUGCUUAAAGGAAACAUGAAAAAAAGUGGUGCUGUUGUAGUUGUGUGGACUCUGUAUUCAUUGGAAUAUUGAAAUGUGUCAUUGUAUAAUGUGGUUCAUAACUGUGUUACGUGUGUGUGUUUCUAAUGAAACAAGUAAAAAGUGUGACUGAAGAAUCUCAUAGACUGUAGAAGACAUGAGAACUACUACCAUUGGAAAAAAAAUGAUUUUGAGCUAAAAUAUCUUUUUGUUAGAAGAUUAUCUCUUCUUCAUUAUUGAACCCUUGUGUCCACAGUUUUACAUGUUGAGGGCUACAAGUGACUUAGACUUGUAGGCCUGAAAACAUAAGUUUAUGCAAGAUUAUUUGGAGAUAUCAAUACACAUACUCCACAGUUAAUUGCAGACACAUGCACACAGUAAAGUAGAAGACAAAAUUACAUCAACAAUAUUCAGAUAGUCUUUCUGGUAAAAACUUUUAAUAAUUUCACCUAAAAAUUUUAGUUAAUUUGAUUCAGUAUACUACAGAUUUCCGUAAAAGUGUUACACAAAUACUGGGCAGUUAUAAUUAAAGUGCAGCUACUCAUGGAAGUCCAUUGUAGGUUGUAACUGUCAUAUGGCAGUGAAAUCUGCUAGAUAUGCUGUCAUUCGACAAGCCAUAAUGUGAGCGAACAAUAUGGCUAUCGAGAAGAAAAACUGUGCGCUGGUAGUGAAACUGUUUUAUGUACAUGGCAGCAAUUACAGUGCUGCAUGGGGAGAAUGUUGCUGAAUUGGUGAGCUAAAUUUGAAAGAGGAAGGCAUCCUAUCCUGGUGGAAGUUAUUGGUGAGGUUACUGUUGCCAUACCUGAGCAGGCAAGACAUUCCCCGGGUAGUUCCAGUGCUUGUGCAGUAUCGCGAGAAUUGCCCAUCAUAAAGUCAACAGUACAGAAAGUUUUGCAGUCUAUAUUACAAUUACACUCAUACUUGCACACGAUUCAGAUGGUGCUGCAACUGAAACCUCAUGAUCUACAGCAACAUUUUGAAUUUCCUCUUUGAUUUGUGGGGCGGAUUGAAGUUGAUGACAUGUGGCCGGUCAAUAUUCUGUGGAGUGACAAGACACAUUUACACUACAGGGUGGAGUGUAUAUACUGAAUUGCCAAGUUUGAGAUACUGUUAAACUGCAUGUUGCGCACAAAGGACCAUUUCCUCACCUUAUGUGACUUUGUGCUGUGGAUUCACAAGCUUGUUCAUUCUCAUUCCAUCUGUCUUUGAAGAGAACACACCGAGAGGGCCUGUCAGGUGCACCCUGAUGUCUGAACGUUAUUGAGAUCUCCUUGUAAAGCAUGUAAUUCCUGCUUUGGAAAACAUAACUGUGUGGAAGCACUGUUUUCAUGCAAGAUGGGGCCACACCUAACGUCGCUUGCCCAGUGAAAGAUCUGCUUAAAGCAAUCUUCCGUGAACAAACCAGAAAUUUUACAGAGGUCUGGCCUGCAAGAUCACCAAGUCUGAAAAGAUGUGACGUUUGGCUCUGGGGUUGUAUAAAAGAAUGCAUUUACCAGCGACACAUUUGGUCUCUACCUGAUCCGAAAGCCAGUAUCCAGGAACACAUUGUUAAGAGUCCACCAUAACUGGUUUGACCAUAACCUACACAUUUCUGUAUGAGCAACAUUUUUACACCUGCUAUGUCUAAGUUCUAUGACCAUAGCCAUCAUGUUUGUAUGUAAACACAGUGUAUUUCAUGAGUGCACAACGUAAUAGUGAAAUAUGCAGCUAAACUUUAUGAAACUGAAAUAUGCAUGUAAAUAGUAAACAAGUGUGCAACUAAGUGGAAAAACUGUCACCAUAGUGUAACUAUAAUAAUGAUGCUUCAUCUUUGUGUAAGUAUAGCUUUAUUUCGACAAAUGCUGAUACGCCACUUACAGUUGUCCCACUUGUAUCUGUUUAGUCACCAACAAAUAAUUUUUCUGUAUUUAUACAGUGAUCUCUAGCAGUAUAAACAUGUACAUGAAUGUAUAAACACCUGAGGAUGGGCACAAACCAGAAACUGAUCGUGUGACAAAAAAAUAACCUUUUAUUGUGA